rnacentral:rRNA from 1 species
UACGUAGGGUGCAAGCGUUGUCCGGAAUUAUUGGGCGUAAAGAGCUCGUAGGCGGUCUGUUGCGUCGGCUGUGAAAACCCGGGGCUCAACUCCGGGCCUGCAGCCGAUACGGGCAGACUAGAGUUCGGCAGGGGAGACUGGAAUUCCUGGUGUAGCGGUGAAAUGCGCAGAUAUCAGGAGGAACACCGGUGGCGAAGGCGGGUCUCUGGGCCGAUACUGACGCUGAGGAGCGAAAGCGUGGGGAGCGAACCGG